UACACCUGAGUCUGAUAUUGUAGAUGGACCACUGUUACAACAAAUUGGAUUUUGCACCUGGGUCUGACAACGUAGAAGGAUCAUUUUUGCAUCAAAUUGGAUUUUGCACCUGAGUCUGAUAUUGUAGAUGGACCACUGUUACAUAAAAUUGGAUUUUGCACCUGAAUCUGAUAUUGUAGAUGGACCACUGUUACAUCAAAUUGAAUUUUGCACCUGAGUCUGAUAUUGUAGAUGGACCACGGUUACAUCAAAUUGGAUUUUGCAUUUGAGUCUGAUAUUGUAGAUGGACCAUUGUUGCAUCAAAUUGGAUUUCACUUAAUUAUUUAGGAUUUUUGGAACACAAGCAGGGCGUUACUCAAAUCAAAUUGAAUGAAUCAAAAGUAAUAAAUACUA